rnacentral:rRNA from 1 species
UUGCGGUAAAAAAGCUCGUAGUUGGAUUUCUGUUGAGGACGAUCGGUCCGUACCAUGUACGCGCAUCUGAUUCGGCCUCGGCAUCCUCUCGAUAGACGUUUCUGCGCUUGAUUGCGUGGUGCGGAUUUCGGGACUUUUACUUUGAGGAAAUUAGAGUGUUCACGGCAGGCUAACGCCAGAAUACAUUAGCAUGGAAUAAUACUAUAGGAUCUCGGUUCUAUUUUGUUGGUUUCUAGACCCGGGGUAAUGAUUAAUAGGGACAAUUGGGGGCAUUUGUAUCAACACGUCAGAGGUGGAAUUCUUGGAUUGUGUUGCGACAAACUACUGCGAAAGCAUUUGCCAAGGAUGUUUUCAUUGAUCAAGAACGAAAGUAAGGGGAUCGAAGACGAUUAGAUACCGUCGUAGUCUUUACCAUAAACUAUGCCGACUAGAGAUGGGGCAUCGUUCACUCACGACUUGCUCCGCAUCUUAUGAGAUAUCAAAGUCUUUGGGUUCCGGGGGGAGUAUGGUCGCAAGUCUGAAACUUAAAGGAAUUGACGGAAGGGCACCCCCAGGAGUGGGGCCUGCGGCUUAAUUUGACUCA